rnacentral:rRNA from 1 species
UACAGAGGUCCCGAGCGUUGUUCGGAUUCACUGGGCGUAAAGGGUGCGUAGGUGGCAUAGUAAGUUUGAUGUGAAAGCUCAGGGCUUAACCCUGAAAUGGCAUUGAAUACUGCUGUGCUGGAGGUUUGGAGGGGGGACUGGAAUUCUUGGUGUAGCAGUGAAAUGCGUAGAUAUCAAGAGGAACACCAGUGGCGAAGGCGAGUCCCUGGACAACACCUGACACUGAGGCACGAAAGCCGGGGGAGCAAACAGG